rnacentral:rRNA from 1 species
AAAACGACUCUCGGCAACGGAUAUCUCGGCUCUCGCAUCGAUGAAGAACGUAGCGAAAUGCGAUACUUGGUGUGAAUUGCAGAAUCCCGUGAAUCAUCGAGUCUUUGAACGCAAGUUGCGCCCGACGCCAUUCGACCGAGGGCACGUCUGCCUGGGUGUCAC